GGAGGGGUGCAAGCGUUGUUCGGAAUUACUGGGCGUAAAGCGCGUGUAGGGCGGCCUCUUAUGUCAGGGUGUGAAAGCCCUGGGCCCAACCCAGGAAGUGCGCCUGAAACUGAGAGGCUUGAGUACGAGAGAGGAGGACGGAAUUCCCAGUGUAGAGGUGAAAUUCGUAGAUAUUGGGAAGAACACCGGUGGCGAAAGCGGUUCUCUAGAUCGAUACUGACGCUAAGACGCGAAAGCGUGGGGAGCAAACAGGAUUAGAUACCCUGGUAGUCCACGCCGUAAACGAUGGAUACUAGUUGUUGCGAGCUUUUAAACUCGCAGUGACGACGCUAACGCAUUAAGUAUCCCGCCUGGGAAGUACGGCCGCAAGGUCA
rnacentral:rRNA from 1 species